rnacentral:rRNA from 1 species
AGGAUUCGUCCAAUUGAAGCAGAGGACAGUGGCGGACGGGUGAGUAACGCGUGAGGAACCUGCCUCAAAGAGGGGGACAACAGUUGGAAACGACUGCUAAUACCGCAUAAGCCCACGGCUCGGCAUCGAGCAGAGGGAAAAGGAGCAAUCCGCUUUGAGAUGGCCUCGCGUCCGAUUAGCUAGUUGGUGAGGUAACGGCCCACCAAGGCGACGAUCGGUAGCCGGACUGAGAGGUUGAACGGCCACAUUGGGACUGAGACACGGCCCAGACUCC